rnacentral:rRNA from 1 species
GACGGACCACACGAACGUUAUUCGGAAUUACUGGGCUUAAAGGGCGCGUAGGCGGCCCUCUAAGUCCCGUGUGAAAGCCCCCGGCUCAACCGGGGAACUGCACGGGAAACUGGAAGGCUUGAGUUCGGGAGAGGGAAGCGGAAUUCCGGGUGUAGCGGUGAAAUGCGUAGAUAUCCGGAGGAACACCGGUGGCGAAGGCGGCUUCCUGGACCGACACUGACGCUGAGGCGCGAAAGCUAGGGGAGCAAACGGG